rnacentral:rRNA from 1 species
GCACAAGCGGUGGAUGAUGUGGAUUAAUUCGAAGCAACGCGAAGAACCUUACCAGGUCUUGACAUCCCGAUGCUAUUUCUAGAGAUAGAAAGUUACUUCGGUACAUCGGUGACAGGUGGGUGCAUGGUUGUCGUCAGCUCGUGUCGUGAGAUGUUGGGUUAAGUCCCGCAACGAGCGCAACCCUUAUCAUUAGUUGCUACGCAAGGGCACUCUAAUGAGACUGCCGGUGACAAACCGGAGGAAGGUGGGGAUGACGUCAAGUCCUCAUGGCCCUUAUGGGUAGGGCUUCACACGUCAUACAAUGGUCGGUACAGAGGGUUGCCAAGCCGCGAGGCGGAGCCAAUCCCACAAAGCCGAUCGUAGUCCGGAUUGUUCUCUGCAACUCGAGAGCAUGAAGUCGGAAUCGCUAGUAAUCGCAGGUCAGCAUACUGCGGUGAAUACGUUCCCGGGUCUU